AAAUUGCCUCAAUCAAGUAAGACUACCCGCUGAACUUAAGCAUAUCAGUAAGCGGAGGAAAAGAAACUAACAAGGAUUCCGUUAGUAACUGCGAGUGAACACGGAUUAGCCCAAGGUUCAAUCCCAAACUAAAAGUUUGGGAGAUUUAACCUAAGGACUAGCUUUCGGGGGUUUAUAGUUAGGGUAAUUCUGUAUGGAAUUACAAGCCAUAGAAGGUGAAAGCCCUGUCUAUCCUUAACUAUAAAUUUCCAAUUGUAUCGCUAGAUCCACGAGUAGGAAAGUCUGAAAUUGCUUUCUGAAAGGGUGAUAAGAUUCAUCCAAGGCUAAAUAUAUAUUAAGAGAUCGAUAGCACACAAGUACUGUGAAGGAAAGGUGAAAAGAACUUUGAAAAAAGGUUUAAAAGUAUUUGACAUCGUUUGUAUGGAAGCGUUUGAUUAGGGGCGCAAUGGAUAAAAGUUCGGGUAGCUCAAAAUCAUAUCAAAACAAACAGUAGCGAAAGUUAGGGAACAACACCUUAGGUGUUCAACAGACCUUUCCUACCAAGUAAGUUUGAAUCCCUGAUUGUACUCUACCCCGAAUCAGUUGGCAACCGUAAGGUUAUUGGUUGUUCAGAAUAAUUAGGAUAAGGUUGAUUUCUACUUCGGUAGUUUGAGACUUACCUAUUUUGAUAGACAACUUGAUCUUACAGACUACGUCAGGGUAGCUAUCACUAGGUUUGUUCUUGAUAGUUGAGGUGUGAUGUAUCGCGUCUAUAUGAUCUACUUCGGUAUUUUGUAUAGCCUUUACUGAAAACUUUGGCUAUGCCUGACUCAUCUAGACGCUACUCUAUAAGUUAAAAGGUUGUAAGGUCCCUAACAAAUGUCCCGUCUUGAAACACGGAUCAAGGAGGCUGUCUUGCGUGCGAGCAAAUGGGCUAAAUAACCCCUAAUGCGCAUUGAAAGAGAGAAUACUCUGAACCCUACUGUUCCUUCGGGAAGUAGAGAUAAAGGGUGCCUGAAUCAAUGUUGACUCUGUUCAACAAAGGUUUACGGUUGAGUACGCAAGAUAGGACCCGAAAGUUACUGAACUAUGCCCGAGGAAGGCGAAGCCAGGGGAAACUCUGGUGGAGGCUUGUAGCAAUGCUGACGUGCAAAUCGCUUGUCUAACUCGGGUAUAGGGGCGAAAGACUAAUCGAAGUAACUAGUAGCUGGUUCCUUCCGAAGUUUCCCUCAGGAUAGCUGGAGUCGUUAUACUAGUUCCAUCUUGUAAAGACAAUGGUUAGCAGUUUUGGGGGCGUAAUGCCCUCUGCUGAUUCCCAAACUCUGAACGGGUGGGUUCCUCUUUUACUUAGGUGAAAUGAGAUAUACACUAACGCAUGCGUUAGUAUAAAAUAGUUGACUCUUAGUGGGCCAUUUUUGGUAAGCAGAACUGGCGAUGUGGGUUGAACCAAAUAUCGGGAUAAGACGCCCAAUCUCCGCUAACAGAUACCACAAAAGGUGUUAGUUCAUAUAGACAGCAGGACGGUGGCCAUGGAAGUCGGCAUCCGCUAAGGAGUGUGUAACAACUCACCUGCCAAAUGGACUAGUCCUGAAAAUGGAUGGCGCUAUAGCGGAGAGUCGAUGCCCGGUCGUUAAAGGAAGUGAUAAUCCCUUUAACGAGUAGGAAGGCGUGAAGGUAGCGUAGAAGCUUCACCGUGAGGUGGAGUGGAGCUGCCUUUAGUGCAGAUCUUGAUGGUAGUAGCAAAUAUUCAAAAUAACUUCAUCUUUGAAGGCCGAAGUGGGGAAGGGUUCCACAACAAUGGCAUUCAUUUGUGGGUUAGUCGAUCCUAAGGCGCGGGUGAAAUCUUUCAAACUCUCUUAUUAGCUGUUCAAAUAAUCCGCAAGGGUUACUGUUCAGAUAGAACCUAGUAAGACUGUGUGCCGAAAGGGAAGCGGGUUAAAAUUCCUGCACCACUAAUUUGAUUUGUAGGGUAACCGAUCAACGGUCGGGACGUCAAUAGAUGGCUAGGGAAGAGUUAUCUUUUCUUGUUAACACUGUGCGGGCCUGUGUUUGGGGUUAAACUCAAGUAUGGGUAAUGUUUACCUUGGAAUUAGGUCAACUAGCGAAAAGGUAGAAUUCCACGGUGAAAGAGCAUCCACCAUUUGGAGGAGGUCCUACGUCCAUUUAUUGGCCCUUGAAAACCGGCCUUGAUAAAAUAUAAUCACUUUAGUGUUCGUACCAAUAACCACAUCAGGUCUCCAAGGUGAAUAGCCUCUGGCCAAAUGUAUUAAUGUAGAUAAGGGAAGUCGGCAAAACCGAUCUGUAACUUCGGGAUAAGGAUUGGCUCUAAAGGCUGGUAGCAUCAACAUGUGAGUCUAAUUAUUGGACUUUGAGGUUCUUAGAUUGGGGGUAACUUUGGUUUAGGGAUUGAUAAUGAUAGUUUUUAGUAAUCUUAUAUGAGAAUUUAUUCGAUUGGUGUUACAAUUAACAGCUAAUUUAGAACUGUAACGAUCACGGGGAAUCCAACUGUUUAAUUAAAACAAAGCGUUGCGAUGAGGUGAAAGCCCAUUGACGCAACGUGAUUUCUGCCCAGUGCUCUGAAUGUUAAAGUGUAGAGAUACAACCAAGCACGGGUAAACGGCGGGAGUAACUAUGACUCUCUUAAGGUAGCCAAAUGCCUCGUCAUCUAAUUAGUGACGCGCAUGAAUGGAUCAAUGAGAUUCCCACUGUCCCUAACUACUAUACAGCGAAACCACUGCUAGGGGAACGGGCCUAGUAAGAAUAGCGGGGAAAGAAGACCCUGUUGAGCUUGACUCUAGUCUGAUAUUGCUUAGUGACCUAGGAGGUGUAGAAUAGGUGGGAGGAGCAAUCCGACGGUGAAAUACCACCCCUCUUGGCGUUACUUAGCUAACUUAAUAAAACGUUUCUUCAAGAUUUAGGUCUUGU
rnacentral:rRNA from 1 species